UAAAUUUAUCAAAUACAUCGCCCUCCGGCGUCGUCGUGAACUAUGACUCAUUCCGGCUAUAUAAUCGGCGAUUUCAUGCUCCUGAGCGCGGCGGUGAAGCCAUGGAUGGCGUCUCCAGUAUUUCUCGAGCUCGUGUUGCCAUUGUUCUACACAAAUCCUGUGGGUUUCCAUACAUGUCUUUAACAUACACUGCCAGUUUCCUGAUUCCCCAUGGGACAAUGUGUAGCCAGCUUGAUCCAGCCUGAUUCAAGUGUGGUAAGCAGCAGCAUGAGACAGAAGAAUGUUAUGAGCUACAAUGUAUGGUUCCACCGAUGACGUCCCCUUCUUACAAAACCAAUG